rnacentral:rRNA from 1 species
UGCGAAGGGGGCUAGCGUUGCUCGGAAUGACUGGGCGUAAAGGGCGCGUAGGCGGCGGUCACAGUCAGAUGUGAAAUUCCUGGGCUUAACCUGGGGGCUGCAUUUGAUACGUGGUUGCUUGAGUGGGGAAGAGGGUCGUGGAAUUCCCAGUGUAGAGGUGAAAUUCGUAGAUAUCGGGAGGAACACCGGUGGCGAAGGCGGCGACCUGGGUGGAUACUGACGCUGAGGUGCGAAAGCGUGGGGAGCAAACAGG